rnacentral:lncRNA from 1 species
AUUUAGUUUCUAUCAAUCUUACUCCAUUUUUGUUUUCUUACUUCUAUAUUCUUCAUGUAUAAUUUAUGGAUUUGGGUAUCAAAUAUAUGAGGUAGAAUAAGUGCUUCCUAAAAUCCAUCAUUUGAUUCCUGACUUAAAUUACUGUUUGUGGUUUGAAAUUUUUUAUCCUUGAAUUAGAAUUUGCAAACUUUAUAUGAUCAGGUUUAGUAGGUCUUAUUCAGCUAACCUCUCAACUAGUGUCAUUUUGGACCUUUCCUCGUGUCAUGUGUGUUUAGUUGUAGGUUGUGCAUAAUGUUCCUUGCUUAAUUUGUUAAGAGAUGAGUACAUAUGGAUUUUGGGUAGCUCAAACUUCAAUUUCGGACAUUGUUAUUGCUAAAUAACAUGCUUUCAGUUAAACUUUUGCACUUCUAUCUAUUUCCUCAUGUUGUGUUUGGCUGUUUGCUAUGUCAUGGCAAUGGGUUAGCUCCUCUGCUCUGGCCUUGUUAUUUGAAUUUCUAUAUUAUUGAGUCACGCCUGAAUAUGUUGUUCUUCAUUUGUAGGGCAAUGAACUUUUCUAUUCAAUCUGUGAAGGUAUUGAUGAAGAAAAGGAUCCUCAAUGCUUGAUCCUCGCAUUUCAUAUUGUUGAAGUUGCUGCAAAGUUGUUUCCUGAUCCCUCUGGUCCAUUUGCUAGUUAUGCUGCAGAUAUUUUUGAAAUUUUGGGCCGUUACUUUCCCAUUCAUUUUACACAUGUAAGCUCACUUAGGGCUGCACCUGCAUUUUUCUGCUAUGUUUAAUCUAGUGUAUACUAGACCAACUUUCUAGACUAUUCUUUUUUUUGUCCUUUAAAUAGUUUCUGAACUUGAUAUUGCAUGGGUGGUAUUUUUAGAGCUGACUGAUUAAGCAUAAAGAUUAAAAAUACCAGAAAAUCAAACACUUGGGGGCAUUCUUGUUGUUUAAAAUACGCUGAUUCUAGCUUUUUCCUGUGCUAAGUUGCAUUGAGGUGUUUUCCAUUGCUUUGCUUAUCUGUCUUGUGACAAAUAAAUUUUCUUUUCAAAAAUUGUUCUGAAGAAAUGCCAAUUAAAAUUUCUUAAACCUUUCGAAGAAUAACUUUUUAAGCACAUUUGGAUAGCUUAAGAACACUAGAGUAGGCCAUUAACAGUAAGCAUGAAGCCUGAUUUUAAACUUCAAACUUAUUAGUGCAUAUAGAUGCUUGGUAAGCUUUCACCAAGUUGAUUCAAUGUGGUUGUGUCCCUUUAGAACCUAUUAUCGGCAAAACCGAACUUGUAAACCUAAGAUUCUGUAAUAGAUGCUAUUCUGUUAUACUACUUUUCUCUCUGAAGCUUCUGAAUGUUUGUGGAGUUUUUAGUUGUGUAUAACCGCAUGGAUAAAAAGAAAAAAAAAAGGCCUCACAUUUGGGAUUUUCUGAUGAUAAGAGUCUUGCAUCAGCAUGAAAAAUUGUGAUACUGACUUUUUAAAGAAGGACCUGGAGGAUGGGAGAAGGCUAUAUAUUGGCUCUAUUUUUAGCAAAUUUUUUAUAGAUGUUAGUUUUCUUCUGAAACUACUUCCUUGCUAGUUGCUGAUGUUACUAAUACUAUAGAAUAAUGUAGUUGGAUAGGUGUAUAUAUUUGUUCUUGUGUUUGAUCUUUUUCUGAAUCUGUCUUCCAUUUAACUUUUUUUGGGUUAUAAUGUCCAGCCAAAAAGUGAAGAUAUUGGGGUCAGCAGGGAUGAGCUCUCCAGGGCAUUACUGGUGUGUGGCAUUUUUAGGCCUUAACUACUAUGUUUGUGGAAUCUCUUAUAAGAGAACAUUCUGUUUUGAUGGGUGAUUUUCUUUUGUCUGGAUAGUUGAUGUAACAUAGAAUAUACUGACACAUAAUACAAAACAAUUAGUUUCAUGGAUCUUCCCUAGGAUUUAUUUUCUUCUCUUAAACCAUAGAGUUGAGAGAGAUUUCUCUUGGAAUUUGAUGAAUGCUGAAUAGUGCAUAAGCUGCUUGAAACAUGCCAUCAGGCUAAUUGAAACAUCUCAAUGGGAAUGCUUCUUUUGGUGUAUCUUUCAGUUAAUAAAUGGAAUUGCUGUGUAUAAUAUAUGGUUGUUUGUGUUUUAUCGGACAUUAGCUGGAAAUUAAUUACAUGUUGGAUGUUUUGAUGGAGGAUCCAGCAAAAAAGCUACUGUUCUCCUAAUAAUCGAAAGUUAUUUAUGUUAAUAAAUGCCCAACAGUUGAAGAGAAGACACCAUUUACUAAAAGUACAACCAAAUUCUUUGUCACCUUCUGAGUGGUGAACUCUUUAAGCUUUUAAUCCAAUAAUAACCUUUUUGUAUUUUUAAAGUGUACCUGUCGAAAAUCAAUGCGUUAAAUGUGGAAUGAAUCAUCCGUCAUAGCAUUUUCUUAAACUUUGUGCCAAAUGCAAUGCUGACAAUGUUCAUGAGUUGGUGAGAUCUAGGGGAAGACAUGUUAAUGGGUAACAAUUAACCUUUUCAGCUGAUACAGCUUAUCUUUUGUGUCUUCCAGCUGGCAUUUGCUGCAACACCACUUUUUGAGCCAUUUGCUAUUCCAUUGCUGCUUGAUAAACUCUCUUCUUCUCUGCCAUCAGCAAAGGUUUGCUUUAUGUAAUAUAGUUCCCUUUCUACUUUCGUUUACACUGACAGUCUCUAUUUCUGAAUUAUAACAUUGGCUGAUAUUGCUUACAGGUUGAAUCCUUUAAGUAUCUUGGUUACUGUGCUCCGAUGUAUGGAUCAGAUAGGAUGGCCAAACAUGGUGGAGCUCUUUGGUCUUCGGUGAAAGAUGUUUUGUAUACCUCACCAGAGUCUGCUUUGUCUGUGGAGUCAGAGUCAGAUGGUGGUAUGAUUUUUGAGGAGAGUGAUAUUAUGGUUGAAGCCCUGAUCCUUUUGGAGGGGCUUAUGCAGCAAAAUAGUGAUUUGCUCUUAGAUAUGAUCCUUGGAGAUGAGGACAUCAAUAACUUCAUCUGCUCAUUUCUUAAGCCUUGGGAUAUUCAUGAUACUCCAUUGCAACUAAGACAACAACUUCAUUCAGUAGGUCGCCUUCUUGCUGUCUCUGCCAAAUCUUCCAUGGCUUCCUGCAAUAGAGUGUUUGAAAAAUUCUUUCCCCAAAUGAUGGAGGCUUUGGGCUGUUCAGUUGGAAAUCAUUCUGAUGAGAGUUUUGCAACUGAAGAUCGUGCUCUUUCUUCUAGAUUUAAUUAUGGUACCUUAUACCUUUGUGUCGAACUCCUUGAUGCAUGUAGAUGUUUGGUUUUGGGUUUCAAAGAAUCUACAUCCUUUCCUGAUUUUAUACACGAGAAGUGGUGUUGCAUGCUGCAUGGCUUUUGCAGAUCAUUAAUCAACAUCUUCUUUUCUAACUUAGAAGCUGUUUCUGGAAAUGCUCAAAGCUCUUUCGCUUAUACUGGAGGUGAGAUUUGAUUGCUAAAAGAGUUAAUAGUGCUGUGUUAGAUAUUUGUCCAAAAACUUCAAACUUGUGUUAGGGUUCCUGUGUGCUUGUUUUUAGUUUGCGAUAUUACAUAGUCCGAGAAUGUUAUCCAAGAUAAACUAAAUACACUGAUAUCAGCAAGAACUCAGCUUAGCAAGAAGUUAAGCAUGAGAGGAGGUUUGAAGUCCAACCCAUUUGGAGCACAAGGCCUAAACAAAUGUUUUUCUUGCACUUGUGUGCAUCCAGGGACGUCAGCCUGGCUGCUGACAACCCUAAAUGGAUUCUUAUGACUGGGUUUGAAGGAUAAUAUAUAUAUAUAUAUAUAUAUAACCAUGUUAAUCAUUUGCUGUGAAAUUCGAAGAUUCAGAUUGUUUAAACUUCAUAAAUCUCCAUUUUGGUUACAGCUGUUGAUGCAAGCUGCAGUUAUUCAGGGGGAUCUAUUAUGGAACCUUAACAAAAUGCUUAAUCCACAUUGAAAGAGUUAACUUUUGCUGCAAACUCAAUUAACCCCUUUUUAGACUACUAGGAUCAAAUUCCAAAUCUUUGAUUGGAGACUUCUAAUUUGACUUGUCUACAUCAUCAAAUCCUACUUAUUGAGAUAAUGGAAGAGUUGUUGACCUCUAGUUCAUUACCAUCAUUUGUACAUGGUUUUCUAGCUAAUCUUGGUUUAUUACCAUCUUUAGUACAUGGUUUUCUACCUACUCUUGGAUGUGUAAACAAGAAGGAUAAAGUUGAAUGCAAAAGAAAAGGAAGACAAUUGUUGUACUUUUGAGCAGUGUCUGUGUUUUCAACUGAGUAACAUUUUCUUUCCUAACAAAGAAAUCUUUAUUGUUUCAGGAAAAAGGGGGGUGGGGGGAUUGUGGGUUUUAUGGGCUGACAUUUAUUCUUACCAAAUUAGAAAAGUUUCAAUUAGAAUGCUGAAUGCAGUAGAUUUUUGCUUUUUGAUAACUACCAAUUGCAUAAGUUGUCCUGUACUGUUACAAGAAUUAUUUCAGUCACUAUUAGCUAGUUUUAUCAUUAAAUGGUGUCUUGUAGUUAAUCUCAAUUUCUCUUUCUUUUUAAUGUUCGAAUUGCAGUAAAGGGUUUGCAGCUUUUGGCUACAUUUCCUAGGAGCUUCGCUCCUGUCUCAUUGUUGCUGUUUGAGAACAUUCUGUUGAAGUUGGUGUCAGCCAUCACUUCUAACUUCGACAAGAAAUUCUCAUGGGGGCUGGAAUUAAAGGCAUUAGUGGAGAUUGGCUUAUAUAUUGAAGGGUAUCAAGAGUCUGAAAAGGCAGCAACUUUUGCUAGGAUUGUUGUAGACAAGUUUGUGUCUUGGAUAUCUUCUGAUGAGCCUGCUAUGCCGCUAUCUCUCAAAAUGCAAGCAAUUUGUGAAACUGGAAUGACAGGAAUUAGCAAUAUGCUGAGAAUUGUCCAAGGGAUGGAAAAGGCUAUAUCUGCCAAAUUCACUCAGGCUUAUGUAUGUAAUUGGCUCGAUUCCUUUGGUAGUAUCUUUUUGUGAUUGAGGUGUUUUAAGGAAAUUCUCUUUAAUAUGGAUGCUGCAGUGCAUUGUGCUACUUUUUGUUCUGUUUUUUCUAUACUUGUAGUGCCAUUAAAUUGGACAUAGUAACAGUUUUACUUAGUCGUUGUGGAUUACAAAGUAUUCAUCUUGCCUUCAUACAGGUUGAUGGUAAUUUUGAGUCAGUGGAAUUGGUAAUCAAGGUUCUGGAGUGCUAUAGUGCUAGGGUACUCCCAUGGUAUGUCUCUAAAUUGAAUUGCCUCCAAUCUCUUAAUUACUUGGUUUCUGCUGUCUUGCAAAAUUUUGUUUUCAUUAAACAGCAUUCUAGAUGAAGCUAUACAUUUCACUUGACUAUAUUUUAAUGAUUUGAUAAGUUAAGAUAAUGAACCUAUCUCUUCAUGUUAUGUUUGAUUUCCUUACCAAUUGGAUUUAUAUUGUGGUUGCUGAAUUUAAUUUCAUGAUCAGCACAUCCAAGACCAUGUUGGGGAACUUGACUCUUGAAUUCACAACUAAUUGCUGGUGGUUGAGAUAGUGGUGACCUUCCAUAAUGAGUUAGGAGCUCUUUUGAAAGCAAAGAAGGAUGAGACUUUUUCCUUUAUCUUUUUAUUUUUAAGCACACCAGAUUUUGCUCUUUGAAUCUUUCUAAUUUUCUUGGCUUAGGAAUGGGAUAUUACUUACAACUUCAGCUUUUUUAGUUGUUAUUAUGUUAAAUGUAUGCUGGUCGUUAAGAUUAAUCAUUUGUUAUGAUUGAUAAAUGCAUCCUAUUUCAUUUUCUCACUGACUUUGAUUUAAGUUCGUAGUUUAUUUUGUUUACUAGGCUAAAUCUCCUGCAGGAGGAAAUAUUGGAAGUGGGAUUAAGAAGCUGUUUUCUUGUAUAUUGCCACAUUCUGAUAUUUUAAGUUUAAGCUACCAACAAUUAUUUCCCUGCAGAUAGAAACACAAGCUUACAAUGGUGGUCAUGACUCCUGAAUAUAAUUACAGUAGCAGUUCCAAGUCGAAUGCUACUAUAGCUGGGUCCUAUGCUUAGCUUGCUAAACUUCACUGAUUGUAUCAUUGUAGUCAUAAAUGGACAUAUUUAAGGUUAUUCAAACAUUUAAGUGGAAAAAUCUGUUAAAAUCGCCUGAUACCUUUGUUCAGAAAUACUCACUCACUCAUUUAUCUUGUCAGACUGCAACUAUGUGUUGAUCUCAUUGGCAGAUAUUUGUCUCAAAUGCUUGUUUGUGUUCCAGGUUUGAAAUGAAUGGAGGUUCUGAGGAAGUUGCUUGGAAUUUGGCAGCUAUUAUUUGGGACAAGAUUGACAAUUCUAGUUCGGUCAAUCUCACUGUUCAAAAUUACGUAAGAAUGACUGGCAUAUUUACUAAUGAUUGAUGGUUCUCAUUGACAUCCGUUCAGUGUUUGAAUAAAGAAUUGCCUUUUUGGUUCCAUAAUCAUAUGUAAAAGUUUAGGAAGUUAAUUUAAAUAAAGCACUUCCUGAUCCUGACUAAUGAAAAUUCCUGUUUGAAAAAUAACAAGAAAACAUGUGUGUGUACUCAGGAACUUCUUGGUGCAGCUAUGACAGCAAUGAAACAAGCAGUUCGACGCUGUUCACAGGAAAGUCAGGAAAAGAUUGUCAAUAGAGCCUUUAGGGUACUAUCAGCAAGCACCUUGUUUCCUCUGAAAGAUUCACCAUUUGCCACUUCCUUGUCCAAUUCAGAAGACUCAUACCUUAAUCAUCAUGUUGACAGAGUUUCAUGUAGAGAUGAAUGGAUCAUUUCACUGUAUGCUUCAGUUGUUAUUGCACUCCGUCCUCAAACACACGUCCAAAAUUUAAAGAUGGUUUUACAGUUAUUCAUAAUGGCCCUUACAAAAGGUCAUAUUCCUUCGGCUCAGGCAUUGGGUUCUUUGGUUAACAAAUUGCCUUCAAAAACCAAUGAAAGGCAUUUGUCACAAGAAUAUGGUGUGGAAGAGGCAAUAGAUGUGAUACUAACAAGUAGCAUAUGGAAUUUCUGCCAGAGUAAUACUCUCAGAAAAUGCUCUUUGUUUGGUGGUGGCAAUGAGAUACAUAAUACUAAGUGCCUUGCUGGUUUAAAUCAUACCUCAGUUCACAUUUCUGCAAUUGUUGGACUGGCUUGGAUAGGAAAGGGAUUGAUUAUGCGAGGUCAUGAAGGGAUAAAGGACAUCACAAUGACUUUUUUAGGUGUCUUACUUGAGAACACCAAUAAUGGGGAUUUUCCAGAGUCAUGUGAUCCAAUUGAAGGCAAAGAGCAAGUAGUGAUCCCUCUAAUGAAAUCUGCUGCUGAUGCAUUUCAUAUUCUCCUGAGUGAUUCCGAAGAUUGUUUGAAUAGGAACUAUCAUUCAGUGAUACGGCCACUUUACAAGCAACGGUUUUACAACUCUGUUAUGCCCCUUUUAUUAUCUUCGACAAGGCAAUCUAAUUCAAUAAUAACUAGGUACAUACGGAUAUACCUCCAAAUUUCCUCUCCUUAGUAGUCCAAUGUUCUGAUUUCUUCUAGGUAAAUGUUGCCUCAAGCCCCUUCUGUUCUUAUUCCUUCGUGGAUCUAAAGCCAUGUAUUGUUGGCAUUGUACUCCUUGAUUUAAUUUUUCUGGUUUAAGUUUGAAACUACGAAGCCUGCUACUUCUCCGUUGUCCACCUUAAUAGCUUUUUAUGCCUGCUGUAAGCAUCACUAGUAGAAGAUUUUCCUCUCUCCGGUAUGGUGAUACUAGCAUGAGCUCAACUUUCUUCGUAGUUAAAUGUCAUGUUUCGAACAGUGAGAUUUUGCUCAAGCACCAUUCACCAGUUCCCCCCAAGAUUUUGUGUUUUGCCCCCUUUUGUUCAGUAGCAGUUGCAUGCUUUUUCUCUUCUCUCUACUUUCAUGUGCUUGAAUCCUUCUUCCUUCAGGGUUGUUAAUUCUAAGCAUUCCAGCAGGCGAGGUACAGGCUGGCAACAUGUAGUGUUCAAGUGUGCAUUGCAGUGUCUAGAUUGGUAGCAUCAGUUAGGACUUGAAGAGUACUGCAGGCUUGUAAUUUUGUUGUAUUUAUACCUAUCAGAGAGAACCACGUUGGUCCCCGAAGGAACUAGAAGAUAUUCAUCAUAACUUUUCUUUAAGUACUUUGGAGCCAUGGUCUUAAAUGUCUAUCGCUAAACUCUUAAAUCGUCAUUUUGGAUGAUGGAACUGUCCUGUCAAUACUUUUGUGAAUUGUGGCUUAACAAAAGCUACUGUUCAAAUGUUUAGAAGCAUAAUACAGUAACCUUGUUUGUGACUGAUAUUGGAAUUGAUGGAAUAGAGUAAUGGAAUAGAAUGUGCUCUUCAUCAAUCUUAAACAUAUGUAUGCACUCAAGUACUAAAGAUUGUGGUAAACAACCUGUUACAGAUCCAUGCUAUUCCGAUCAUUUGCACAUGUAAUAUCAGAGACCCCUCUGUCUGCUAUGAUAAGUGAAGCUAAUAAGGUUAGUAUCCUAGAACUUCCUGCCAAUUCUAUUUUGUUCUUGUUUGGGUUUGGGUUGAUAAAUCUACUGCAAAAUUGGGCCCUUGUCUGCAGCUCAUUCCCUUGCUUCUAGAUAGCUUGUCCACCUUGACUGAGGAUGUUAUGCAUAAAGAUGUCAUCUACAAUGUCAUUCUAGUCCUAUCUGCAAUUUUGAUGGACAAAAAUGGUAAGGGUGUUGUUCCAUUGUCUGAUAGAAUUUAAUGUCCCUACUGAACGAUAUUACAGAUUUUCUUUCAUGAAUCUGCAAGUUCUUUGAUUUAUGAACCAAGUUUAACCUCUUGGUCCAGGACAAGUAGCUGUUUUGGAAAAUGCACAAGCCAUAAUUAACCAGCUUAUUGGGCUUGCGGCGUAUCCUCAUAUGAUGGUAAAAAGAAUUUUUUAAUUGAUAUCUAGCUUUUUCUUCAUGAUGGACAAAUCCAAAAACUAAUUUGGUACACAAUUAAUGUGGGUAACAAACACUUGUGCAUAUUUAUGUCUAAGCAAAAAUGAAUUUGAUCAGAUGUGAUUCCUUUAUAAAUUCUGUAAAAUUGUUCUCGUAAUGUUUUAGGUAAUUCGAGAGACAGCAAUUCAGUGCCUUGUUGCAAUGUCUGAACUGCCUUAUGCGAGGAUUUAUCCAUUGAGAACAAAGGUAGCAGUUAGUUAUGUUGCAUGUCUACGUGAACUCAAUUAUGUGUAACCAAUGAUAUAUAAACAUUAUUUUCGUGAUUUCAAAUAUUUUGCCAUAUUGUCUUUGUCAAUUAUCAAUUACUAGGAAAGCUGCUUUUGUUGAUGCACUCUCUCAUUUCUCUACUUUUUGCGCAACCCAAUUCUGUCCAUGUGCAUGAAUAUGCAGUUACAUCAUUUCAUGCAUACUAAAGAAUGUUCUCUAUAUCCUUAUAAGGUUUUACAAGCUAUAUCAAAAGCCUUGGAUGAUCCAAAGAGGGCUGUCAGACAAGAAGCAGUCAGAUGUCGCCAAGCUUGGUUUGGGCAAUCAAAUAAAUGAUGGUGUUCUUUUCCUUCUUCAAUAGUGAAGGUUAUAAUUAGAUUUUGCUCACUGGCAGCUGAUGUUUUUGGACAGGGCAUCAAUUGCCUCAAGAAGCCUUCACUUUUGAAAUACUAAAUAACAUCGAGUUCCAAGGCUUGUGAGAUAAGGUUUACUAUAUUGCAUCAGAAUUAAUGGUAUUAGAAGUACUGCAGAUGGGAAAUAAUGAUGAUCUUUGCUCAUUUGUUGCUCUCAGGGAAGAUGAAGAAGUACCAUUGUCAUGCUAUACUAAUCUUUCUUGGUAGCUGAAACUGGAAACUACUCAGUCAUGCAUCUCAAAUUGCAGGCAUGCCCCUUCUAUCUCGUAGUAUUGCAUUGUGUAACAAUAAAAUGUUACCUAAAAAGUUUGCAGGUUUACUUUAGAGAAGCUACCUAGAUACCUGGAAAGAAGGGAUAGAUUUCCAAUGUGUUAUUGUGAUCACUUAACUGCAAUAUAAAGAUCCAUUGAGGCAUAUUUACCAUAAGUACACGAAAUGAUAUAUCAGCAAAUUGAGUAAAACUAGUGGCACAAUAAAUUAUCAUGGAAUUGGGUGUUUUCUAUUUUAAAGCGAUGAAAUAAAUCAUGUUACUGAACCAUUUAGCAUGUAGCUCUUGAUGACUCAAUUGUGUGUUCCUUUUCAGCUUUCUUAAGCAAGUUGGAGUACCUUCUAGUCAACAAUAGAGGACUGCAGGGAUAACGCAUUCUUCAUCUUGCCUGCUGUUCGGAAGUGUAGAUGAUUUUUUGCUUUCAAUUGAGGCAGACAAGUGAUUGUCCUAAAUUGUUAGCUAGUGUCAACAUUGCCAUUUCUUGGUCACCCUUCGGAGUAAUUGGAGGAUUUACCAUGUCCUUGGUAGUUUGAGACUGACAUAUAUUGCUCUGAUAAAAGUGUUUCAAGAGGUCUCCAAGUUUCUGAAGCCGCUAUAUAUGCAGCUUUGUUGCUGAAUAGUUCUAUUGGAGAAUGAUAUCUCACCUUAAAAUGUGAGUUUGGGAGUUUAGAGCAUUGAUUUGUUUCAUUAGGAUGUUAAUGUAUAUAGCUUAAUUAGUAGAAGUGUGCUAAUUGCCUUUUGUUCAAUGGGGGCAUUCUGCUUGCAGUCACAAGGUACAGCAAUCAUGACCAUGUAAACUUAUUGCAAUUCCUCAACAUAACAGGAAACAGCGAAAGAAGAAAAUGACUGCAUCUUAUUCAGUUAUGUUCGCAGUGUCAAAGUUCUUUUCAAUAUUAACUUUCAGUCGUCCUUUUAGCUUUCCAUAGUCUAAUAUAUUGGACAUUUUCUCUUGCCUCUGAUUUUUUUUUUCUCGUGACGUUAUCCAACACGAGGAAUUCCAAAGGUGUUAUGAAAUUAUUUUGCUUUUCCUUGGUAGUUCCAAAAUGACCGACUUUGAAUUUCAAUCUCACAUUCGAUCGUUCUUGUUGAUACUUGAAUACCUUCCUUCUUGGGUUAGUUAUGGAAAUUCAAGAACAAAUCUUCUAUAUCCCUUUUAAUUAUAAGGUGAAAAUUUUCCCAAAUCCAAUUAAUUUGGUUUCAUAACUUAUUUUAUUUUUUUUGUGUGUGUUUAAUCACGAAUACGAUAAAAGCCAAGAUACAGGUAAAUCAUGUCCAAAUUUCAGGCAAAAUUUUGUAAGUUGUAAGCAACAUAAAAAGAAAUGAGGGAAAAAAUCCAAAAUUUAGAAGACAGGAAAAAUUUCGAGUUAUCAAAAUUUUCACAAGAAGCAAGGCAAAAAUCCUAUAUCCCAUUAUAUUUCUGCUGUCACUAAUUGACUCUUGCACUCUCUGACUCUGUAUAGUAUCAGUUGGAUAAUUCCGUAUAAACACAUUCAAUCAGACAUAUCAUAUUCGCCUCCACUGGACUGAUCUGGCUCCAUAUCAUCCACACUCUUCUGUGAUUGACCAAGGCCAUCUUCCAUGUCCAAUCUUGCUCUCUUCGAAUUGAAACCACUCCCUUUUGAUGCUGAAUAACCCUACAAACACGAGGAACUCAAAGAUCAGCCAGAUGUUCUUGAUAUUUUUCAAAAGAAAGAAGAAAAAUAAAGGUUAAUUGGCAUACCCCAACUUCCUUCAAUUCUAUUGCGGCUACAGUUGAUCUCUUCCUUACAGUCAAUCUCGAAGGUACAGGAAAAUGUUCAACUUCUUCGCUUGAUUUCCCUUCUCUAGCUCUCUUUUUUCUCAAAAUUAGCUUCGUCGGUAGAGGCUGCAUCAAAAUAUACUCUGUGUUAGCAAAAUCCUCAUAGAGAGCGUUUCCACCCCUCAACGAUAAAUGCCAAACUUUAAGUACAAGUAAAUAAAGUAACACUAAAGAGCUCAAAUAACAUACCAUAUAGUGCGCCUCUGAUUCGCCAAAGGUCACAAGAUAAGUUGCGGGGUCGUCCGCAUCAUCCCCUCGAACCUGUCCAUACAUGAAGGAUGUCUCAGUCAGCAGAUGCAGUAAAAGUAUCUAUAGAAAAACUAAAGAAAGCAUACAUACAUCCCAAUGAUAUUCACGAAUCCAGGAGUAUGAAACAUCUUCACUUUCGUCAUAGAUAUCCUUUGAUAGCUGGAACGAUAAACACAUAUACAUUGACGAUCAUACAAAACUGAGAGAAAAUCAGUCACGUUGAAAUUAUAUUGCCAUUUUUCCUCGAGUAAAAAUUCAACUACCUCAUUAGGUGAAGGAACCAUAUAAGCCAAAAAUUUAUCAGGUUUUGCCAUAUCAGAGCUGGUAGCCACAAAACUUUUCAUAAUUGCCUGCAAUCAUGAACAUACUUGUCACAAAACUCUCUCUUACUAUGUUUAGUAAUUAUGAUUGAGAAACUGGUAAUAUAAUCUGGAAAAAUUACAGUAUUCAGUGACAAGAUAAUCAAUCCACUUUUUUUGGGUACAUAAUCAAUCCACUUAGAAUUGUUGAGACUUCAUAGAAGUAAUCAAUCCACUUUCCACUUAGGACUGUUGAGACUCACGGCAAUUGGUGACAAGAUAUUCAAUCCACUUAGAACUGUUAAGACUUCAUAUGAAAUAAACAAUGUGUACAAAAAUUAAAGGUGCUAGAAGAAUUUAUGAAUUUCAUAAGGGUUAAACAGCAGUAAAUUCAGUAAAUUCUUAGUCACAUCACAAAAUCCCCCCCCCCCAACACCCUGCAAAAAAAAUGACAUGAAUAAAUUAGUAUGACAAAUGUGGGGGCCAGGAAUGAGAAAAUCCCCUUGCAUCCCUCCCCUCCACACAAUCACUAAAGGCUGCGAUAAUACAACUGAAAAUAGAACAUCCAUAUUAAAAUCUCCUCCUUUCCCUCUAACUCUUCAACCUGUAAGAAAAGGUUGUAUGAUUUGUGUCUCGGAUAUACUAAUCCUCCACGAGGGAACUCAAGAGUAAUCAAUGGUGGGCCAGUGAACUAACUCUUGACAGUCUGACUUCAAUGUGCAAAAUGAUGUAGUAAAUACUUUGAUGUAUACAAACACGAAUUAACAGAUUUUACCUGAGAUUCAUGUGAAUCACGGAUACAUUUAUCCAACUUGCUGUAAAUUUCUGAGUCAGCAGUAGGAGCGCUAUCAAAGUUUGCUACAACAAACUGGUCAUCGUACCUGCCAAAUCAGCAGUACUACAUCAACUUUCACAUAAAACCAAAGCCAAUUCACUUGAAGAAACAGUCAAUCAGCUAUAAGAAUCAGAGCCCAAAAAGCCAUUCUUGCAGGUAAUACGACACUUCUUGUUUCUUUAUGGGGUCAACUAAAAAUAUUUGAGACCUUAAACAGGUAAUGUGAAUCUAAAAUCAUGUCUGCGCAUGAAUGAAAUUUCUAAUUAGACUCCAACAUUAUAUCCCAUAAACAGAUGUACCACUUCUGGACAACUGUCCAGUUUCAGCAAGACAUUUUUUUAAAGUGAAUUUACUAAAACAUCAUAUCCUUCCAGUUCUCUUCAAACUCCCAACAAGAGAAUAAAAUUUGUUUCCAGAACUCCAGAAGAAGACAAAAGAGCAUUAUUUAGUAUGUUUUCUCUUCUCAUCUUUUCUUUUCUUCCCUGCACUCCCAAACAAGGCCUAAAUGACUUUGUUCCCAACUGAGUCUUAGAUACAAGUAGAACUACAGUAUACUGUAACUAGACAGACCUUUUAAUAACCCAAGGACUUCAAAGGCUUGUAUAGUUACCCAUACAAGUAGAAAAAAAAAAAUAAACCCUAAAAGACUGUGUUUAGAAUACAAAUUCUAUCCAAAAGCAAGGGUACAAUAUGUAGACACUUCCCCUCUUCCUGUACAUAACUGCAAAUAUAAGUGCUAAUAGACAAUUACUGGCUUAAAAAUUAUGCAAUGAAGAUGAAAAAUGAAGAGAUCUACCGAUCAAAAUCAGGAAAAAGCGGGAGAAUAUCAACAGCUUGUAAUCUAGAAUUAGUUGCAUGAAUAGGCCUGGCCUUGCAUGCCUCAAAUGAAGCCUGAAUUUCCUGGAUCUGUCUUUCCCUGAAAAUUACAAUAUAUCAUUUUAUAUGGCCCCAACAAUCAGAAUGUUUUUAUAUGCACCUCUUCACAUGGAAAAUAGUAUUUAAGCUCACAACUAACCUGCUAUUAAGAUUCUCCAAAAGAUUGCGACCUUCUCGCAAUUCUUUUGCCUGCUUUUCAGUGAGAGACUACAAAGAGAAUCCAAGUUGUAACUUCCACCCCGGCAGUUCACAUUAAAAUAAACAUCUUCAGACCAAAUCAUGCUGAAUGGUACCUGUUUAGACGACUCCAUGCUAAGAGGAGAAAUAUAUUGGGUUUUGACCAGCCAAGAAACACCUUGGUCGGUGGGCCUUUCUUUCCUUUUUAUGCCAUCUUUCUUAAUUGGGGUUACAGGAUCAUCAUCACGUAAUAAUUCCUCAUCCUCGGGAUCUAGUUGCAGGCUUCUGCCUUUGGGUGGACUAAUCGAGAAAGAAAUUAUGAAAGAUCACCAUUUUCAUGCUUUAAAGAUUUGUAAUUAAUUUUGGGGGAAAAGAAUUGUCAAGGACAUACUUAUACACGCUGAGAUCAAGCAAAUCCAGUGGUAUUCCAAGAUCCGGUUCAACAUAUAGUUCAGGUUUGUGCAUUUUCUCCAGAGAAGUGAUGGCAUAUUUUGUAAACCUGCAGACUUGGUUACCAAUCUAACAAAGGAACUAAAAACUAGAAAUAUUGAAUGGAAGGCAAAUAUGAGGCAGAAUCAAGUAAGGGAUAGAUAUUUUCUUAGUUAUUACUGCACAAGUUUUCUGCAAAAUCAGAAUCAAAAUUUUGCAGAAGUGAACCUCCGAUCAUAUCUAGUAAGCUGGGCAGGCGUACAUUCAGUAAAAUUGUAUACAUAGUCAUUAUUCAUGGUUGCAAUUUAUAAUGUAUGAAUAUGAUGUGUGAAAAGUACUUGACACAUUCCAAAUAGAUCUAAAUCUUGAGGUUCUAAUGGUAGAACUGUUAUCAAGGGUUGAUGACACAUUAUGCGACACAAGUGCUAGAAAGAUUAAAUUUCCCAAGAAAAAGGUUAGUAAUGGAAGUUCCAGCAUUCAAAAUGUAGGAAAUUGGAAAUAUAGAACCCAGCCAUGCAGUGACUCUCAUUGCAAGUAAAUCGAGCAUGACACACAACUAUGCUGGAACUCAGAGCAAACAUCAACCGUUCUAAUGAAUAAACGGAAUAGAGAAAGGGAAGAGAGGCAGAUGUUUCCACAUUCAUUAAAGUUGCAGGCUGCUUAUUGGAUGAUUCACUUCUGUCAUAAGUCAUCUUCAUAGCAACUCUUUUUAUAAAACUUCAAACGGCUUGACAUGUCAUGUAGAACCGUGUUCCAUGCCUCCAAUUAAAUGAGCAAUUUUGUUAAAGUUCUCCACCAUUUAAACAGAAAAACUUGAUGGUAUUCCUGAGAAAGGUUUAAUCUCACUCUAAAUGGUAAAGAGUAAAUGAUCACGUCCAAUUUCUACAAAGUUUUGUUUUCAUACUCAGUUUCCUGGACAAGGCUACAAUUUCGAUUGAUUGAUGAUCAUCUGCGACAAUCCUACAUUUCCCUUUACAAUUAAUCUGUUAGGAAAUUAUGCUGCAUAGCCCGAAUAAGGCUCACAUUCACUCCCCAUCAAACCACAAUCUCUUUAAUAAAAUCAGUAUUCAAGCCAGCCAUUUCCAUCCUUCAAGGUAAUAUGCCAAAACUUAGUUCUAUCACAUCAAGACCAUUAAAUUUUUCAAGGAAAAAGAACAAAAAACUUCUUGCCCUACAGGUCACAUUAUCGUGAAUUAAGAUUUUAAUUUAUUGACAAGCUUAUGAUUAGUUAGCAUACCGACUAUAUAAACAGAGCCACUAUUACAUAAUUCAUUAAAAGGAGGAGAAGUGAGUGGCAGGAAGAAAAGCAGGAAAAGGUUUCUUACCGAUCUUUAUCUCUCCUUAAAGAUGUAAGCUUUGGUUGUGCUGUCUGAUCAGGUAAUUCAUUCCGGAAUCUGCAAAGAUUACAAAAUCAAAUCAAUGAUAUUCACACAGCAAAAAGUGAAGAGCAAAAGGAAAGCUUUUUCUUUUCAUGGGAAAAUAUAACACAAUUAGCAAAAACGACAAAAGUGAAACAUCAAUUGAAACAGUAAGUGAUGUGUAGCAUCAUCAGAUACAGAAAGCCCUGCAACUUGUUCUUCCUUUGAUCAUAAAAAAUGCACGACCACAUUCUCUUCAAGGAAAUGAAAUGUUCUUUGCAAGUUCAGAAUGCUUAUAACAGUUUCUUUUUGCCAGAGAGGAAAUAAUUCCCUUAAAGUGGUGACCUUGGCCAGAGACUGGAGGCAGGAAUGAAUAAAUCUCAAUAACUUUAAGUUUACGUGCAGCAGAUAUGCGGCUAGGGCUAGGUUGGAUUGUAUUUGGGUUGGAUCUACUGUUUAUGGAUCGUUAGCAUGGCAAAAGAUGACAAGCAGUUUUAAGUUUGAGAUGGGUUUCCAGGAGUGCGCCAGUGAAAGUAGGCUAGGCUUGAUGCAGAAGAGAAAGUAGAACUCUUAGCAUCAUGAUUUUUCACUUCUUUGAAGUCACCCUUAUGGGUUAGGUCAACGGCUAUAUUUUUAACUUACAAAUCCAACACAAUAGCCAAUUUAUUUCAGUAAAAUGCAUUUCUCAAGAAAAAUAAUAAACAGAAAGUUAUCAGCUUGUUGGAACUUAUUAUUUUGUAUAUGUCCAUGGUAUUCUUUUAAAGACAUCAUAGCUUAGUGACCAUUGACAACCCAAUUUAAGAAGACACUAAUGGAUUUUGUUAGCUUAAGAGAAAGGAUGCCACCUGUCAAACUAUUGAUACUACAAAUCCACAAUCGACCUUGCUAAUUCAAAGUUGGAUGCACACCAAAAUUAACUUUUAACUUGUUUGAAAAUUUUUAAUGCCAUCCUUGUGAUCAUCCUCCAAUCACAAUCAAACAAGUGUUUAAGGGAAAAACAAAGAAUAAACUUUUAAGCAAUUGAAUAGCAUGGUAUAUGUUUUGUGUAAUAUGUUCUCUCUCGAACGUUAACUCAAAAUGGUCAAAAGGAAGAUUACUGCUCAAUAGGUAAUAAUUUGCUCUAUAUCAGUAAAAAUUUCACUAAUGUGCGCACACAGAAUUCACAUAUGCACGCAAUAAAUGCUUUACCAAAAUCUAAAGUGCACCACUCAUAUCGCUAGUGUAAGAACAAAACAUUCUUAGAAAUUACUGUCAUAAUGGCAUGCUAUAAACAUCCUCAUGUUGGUUAACAAGAUAAUGUCUAACCAUCUAAACUUUCAGCACUACAACUGUGUCACAAUCAAAUCCACAUAAACAUGUGCCCUUAGAAGGAAAAGGACAAAUCUUUAAGCAACAACACAGAUCCAAUUGAUGUUUCAGCAUACUCACUUUAACUUGCAAAGAAAUGUCGUAGGCUUCUUCAACCGGUUCUCAAUCCUCUCACCACUUAACAGAGGAGCAGUCCUCCUGUCACCAAUAUGUGAGCCAGUAAUCGACCCAUGCGCUUUUGUUCCAGAAGAUAUCAUUUGGGUCUUCUGCAGCACUCUACUCUGUGAUUCUUUAAUGUGCUGCCUAUGUUUUUCUUCCUGCCGUUGCUUCUCGUAUUCUCUCUUCUUCCUCAACCUCCUCUCCUCCUCUGUCUCAACCCUCCCUGGAGGCCCACUGGGCUUUCUAGCUGGAACUUGAGGAACAGGAACCUUCUGCUGCUUAGCGUUUCCCAAAUCACGCCACCCAGAAUCUCUUCCUUCCCUCGAUGGCCUUCUCUCCUCUGCAUUCCUGUUUUCCUUGCUCUGACCAGGAGGAAGUGACGACGGUAGUGGCGGAGGCGAUAACGGUGGCGGAGGAGGAGGUGGAGCGACAGAAUUAGGGGGAGGAGAGGAAGGGGGCGGCGGAGGUGGGGGUGGCUGCAAGGGUUGCAAAGGCUGGUGCUGACUGUACUGGGAGUACUGACCAGAUGGAUAAUACCCUGGAGCAGGCGGGGCAGGGCCAGGCUGCGGGGGCAAGGAAGUCGGAGGAGGAGGAGGUGGGAAGGACUUAUCCUGGAGAGGCGGCGGAGGAGGAUACUGAUAUUGUUGCUGUGCUGGCUGCGGCGGAAUUUGAUUCCGCGGAGGAGGAUUGUAUGGCUGCGGAUAAUUCGAAUUUGGCGGCAUUUGAGAAUAACCCCAAUUCUGAGAAUACUGAUUCCCUUGAGAUUGUUGCUGCUGAUGAGGGGGCAAGGCAGGAGGUUGCAAAGGAUUCUGAUUCGCGGGCCCCGGCGGCGGCGGCGGCGGCGGCGGAGGAGGUGGCCGAGGAGCAAAAGUUGACUGAGGUGGCGGAGGAAAUGGCCUAUACGACGCCAUUACAACUACUCCCCUUGCGCAACUCUGCGUUUACUACUGAACUGAAACCCUAAGUAACAUAAAUGACAGAAAUUUGCAGUAACUCACAAAUUUACCGAGUUUUAGUUGUAUGCAUUGCAUUCAUAGCCCCGUAUUAGCACGAAUUUGUAUGUAUACUAAAUCGGAAAAAAAAAAAAAACCUAGCAAUUACAAAACAGAACGAACAAAACUUCACAAAAGUUGACAGCUAAGUGCGAUUAAAUUUGGAGAAAAUUCUCCGUCCGAGGAUCGAAGAAGUUAAAUUCAAUUACAUAUAAUUCGAGAUUGAGCUGAAAGGACAGCUAAAUUCCAACCCUAGAGCCAAAAACAAUUUUAUUAUUAGAAGGAGAUUGUUUAUUUCGGGAAUCUAAUCAAAACUGAAUCAUCAAAGAAAAAAGAAUGUAGGAGAAGGAGGAAUCGAACAGCGAAAGUUAAAUCAGAAAUACACGAAAAAUGCUAUAUAACAGAGCAUCUGUACAAACAAGUGUUUGAUCGGAGAAAAAGGGAGCGGUGGAGAGGGACGCUGGGUAUUGGGAGUAAAAGGGCGGGGGUAUUACUUGAAGUUUAACUCGCUGGCGACUGCUACUUAAGAACUAGUGCAGGUGUACGCGAUAAAAAUCUAUAACGCAUCGCAGUGUCUUUUUUCGGCUGUGACCGACCGCCUUGUUUGGACUUUGGAUUGUUAGUUUUCACAGAUAAAUUUUUAUAUUUUUUAUAAAUACAUCUUUUUGUUCGUUUUACAAGUCCUCGUUGCCUAGAUAUAAUGCUGUCAUGCACCCAAAUUGAUACCACU